rnacentral:rRNA from 1 species
UAAUACAUGCAAGUCGAACGAGUUCUCGUUGAUGAUCGGUGCUUGCACCGAGAUUCAACAUGGAACGAGUGGCGGACGGGUGAGUAACACGUGGGUAACCUGCCCUUAAGUGGGGGAUAACAUUUGGAAACAGAUGCUAAUACCGCAUAGAUCCAAGAACCGCAUGGUUCUUGGCUGAAAGAUGGCGUAAGCUAUCGCUUUUGGAUGGACCCGCGGCGUAUUAGCUAGUUGGUGAGGUAAUGGCUCACCAAGGCGAUGAUACGUAGCCGAACUGAGAGGUUGAUCGGCCACAUUGGGACUGAGACACGGCCCAAACUCCUACGGGAGGCAGCAGUAGGGAAUCUUCCACAAUGGACGCAAGUCUGAUGGAGCAACGCCGCGUGAGUGAAGAAGGCUUUCGGGUCGUAAAACUCUGUUGUUGGAGAAGAAUGGUCGGCAGAGUAACUGUUGUCGGCGUGACGGUAUCCAACCAGAAAGCCACGGCUAACUACGUGCCAGCAGCCGCGGUAAUACGUAGGUGGCAAGCGUUAUCCGGAUUUAUUGGGCGUAAAGCGAGCGCAGGCGGUUUUUUAAGUCUGAUGUGAAAGCCCUCGGCUUAACCGAGGAAGCGCAUCGGAAACUGGGAAACUUGAGUGCAGAAGAGGACAGUGGAACUCCAUGUGUAGCGGUGAAAUGCGUAGAUAUAUGGAAGAACACCAGUGGCGAAGGCGGCUGUCUGGUCUGUAACUGACGCUGAGGCUCGAAAGCAUGGGUAGCGAACAGGAUUAGAUACCCUGGUAGUCCAUGCCGUAAACGAUGAAUGCUAGGUGUUGGAGGGUUUCCGCCCUUCAGUGCCGCAGCUAACGCAUUAAGCAUUCCGCCUGGGGAGUACGACCGCAAGGUUGAAACUCAAAGGAAUUGACGGGGGCCCGCACAAGCGGUGGAGCAUGUGGUUUAAUUCGAAGCAACGCGAAGAACCUUACCAGGUCUUGACAUCUUUUGAUCACCUGAGAGAUCAGGUUUCCCCUUCGGGGGCAAAAUGACAGGUGGUGCAUGGUUGUCGUCAGCUCGUGUCGUGAGAUGUUGGGUUAAGUCCCGCAACGAGCGCAACCCUUAUGACUAGUUGCCAGCAUUUAGUUGGGCACUCUAGUAAGACUGCCGGUGACAAACCGGAGGAAGGUGGGGAUGACGUCAAAUCAUCAUGCCCCUUAUGACCUGGGCUACACACGUGCUACAAUGGAUGGUACAACGAGUUGCGAGACCGCGAGGUCAAGCUAAUCUCUUAAAGCCAUUCUCAGUUCGGACUGUAGGCUGCAACUCGCCUACACGAAGUCGGAAUCGCUAGUAAUCGCGGAUCAGCACGCCGCGGUGAAUACGUUCCCGGGCCUUGUACACACCGCCCGUCACACCAUGAGAGUUUGUAACACCCGAAGCCGGUGGCGUAACCCUUUUAGGGAGCGAGCCGUCUAAGGUG